rnacentral:snRNA from 1 species
UUGCUUGUCGCAGCAGCACAUAUACCAAAAUUGAAUCAAUACAGAGAAGAUUAGCAUGUUCCCCUCCACAGUGAUGACCAUGCAAAUUCUUAAAGUGUUCUGUAUCUUU